rnacentral:rRNA from 1 species
UGGGGACUUUUCCGCAAUGGGGGCAACCCUGACGGAGCAACGCCGCGUGGGGGAGGAAUGUCUGUGGAUUGUAAACCCCUUUUCUCAGGGAAGAAGUUCUGACGGUACCUGAGGAAUCAGCAUCGGCUAACUCCGUGCCAGCAGCCGCGGUAAGACGGAGGAUGCAAGCGUUAUCCGGAAUUAUUGGGCGUAAGGCGUCCGUAGGCGGUUUUUGAAGUCUGCCGUUAAAGACCACAGCUUAACUGUGGGCCGGCGGUGGUAACUGUUGAACUGGAGUACGGUAGGGGUAGAGGGAAUUCCCAGUGUAGCGGUGAAAUGCGUAGAGAUUGGGAAGAAAAACAGUGGCGAAGGCGCUCUACUGGGCCGUAACUGACGCUGAGGGACGAAAGCUAGGGGAGCGAAAGGGAUUAGAUACCCGCGUAGUCC